rnacentral:misc_RNA from 1 species
CCCUACCGGAAGGUGGGGAUGGAUCUCCUC